rnacentral:rRNA from 1 species
UCAGCUUGUUGGUGAGGUAAUGGCUCACCAAGGCGUCGACGGGUAGCCGGCCUGAGAGGGUGACCGGCCACACUGGGACUGAGACACGGCCCAGACUCCUACGGGAGGCAGCAGUGGGGAAUAUUGCACAAUGGGCGCAAGCCUGAUGCAGCAACGCCGCGUGAGGGAUGACGGCCUUCGGGUUGUAAACCUCUUUUAGCAGGGAAGAAGCGAAAGUGACGGUACCUGCAGAAAAAGCGCCGGCUAACUACGUGCCAGCAGCCGCGGUAAUACGUAGGGCGCAAGCGUUAUCCGGAAUUAUUGGGCGUAAAGAGCUCGUAGGCGGUCUGUCGCGUCUGCUGUGAAAACCCGAGGCUCAACCUCGGGCCUGCAGUGGGUACGGGCAGACUAGAGUGCGGUAGGGGAGAUUGGAAUUCCUGGUGUAGCGGUGGAAUGCGCAGAUAUCAGGAGGAACACCGAUGGCGAAGGCAGAUCUCUGGGCCGUAACUGACGCUGAGGAGCGAAAGGGUGGGGAGCAAACAGGCUUAGAUACCCUGGUAGUCCACCCCGUAAACGUUGGGAACUAGUUGUGGGGUCCAUUCCACGGAUUCCG